CGAACAUAGUCUUCUUCACUUCCUGUUCACGUUCUGUUCUUUAGAACAGAUCUUGAGUUUGCCACUCGUAGGUAAGAACACCUUCCUCGUCUCGCCACAACCGGAAGUGAUGCAACUACAGCUCGUCACACUCCGCUAUCUUCAGCGAUUCUCCAGCAUCGCGAGGCCCGUUCUCGGUCUGUGCACGAGGCGGGCCGAGCGCCACCUGCACUGGACGCAGAAGGAAGACCCGUUCACCAUCGUCACGGAAGGCAUGGUCGAUCUCGCCCACAAGAUCAAGGGAAACUCGCCCAUCUCAGACUCUGUAAGUGUUUACACUUGAGUAUAUGUUUGAACGUUUGCAACAAUGUACGAGUGCAAAUGUAUUUGAUUCUGUAUUUGUUAAUUAUCCUUGUAGUGGAUAUCUCACGAGUCCGCACACGCUGACACAGGCGGGCUCGCGUCACUGCAUACAAGCCCGGCAUAGCAACUGCUCCGCAAAUCUGGCUUAUCCUUAUCCUUAUAGUGGAUGUACGUUCGAUCUUUUACCCAGUAUAACCAUCCCGAGAUGAUUGCGUCUUUGUCGAGGCAACUCUAACUUUUCUCAAAUUAUCUGCGAGGAUCCAAAGAGCCUACUCAUGAAGGGCGUCUUUCGAAAGACCAAAGCAAAGAUUUUCGCUGAUUCUGACCCUGAGUUUACAGUUUGUUUAUUCCCACUUUUAGGGAGUUUAUUACUGAAACCACAGAACAGCACAAACAUAUAGAUGUCGAUACAUGGGCACACGGAGUGGGGUGUCCAGCCCAUUCCAAAUUAUAGGCCAACUAUAUGCUUCUUGACAUGUAUAUUCCACGUAACCACAUGUUCAUUAGUGCCAGAGACAGUUUUAAGAAAGAUACCAAAAAGGUAAUGGAAGGAAGAGCUGUUUUCCUUUUUUACGAGAUUUAUAACCCCUAUUUCAGCUGAAAUAGAAAAAAAGAGCUUUCAUUCACACUUGCCUUCUCUCAAAGA
rnacentral:misc_RNA from 1 species